AGAGUUUGAUCCUGGCUCAGGACGAACGCUGGCGGCGCGCCUAACACAUGCAAGUCGAACGAGAGAUGAGGAGCUUGCUCUUCAAAUCGAGUGGCGAACGGGUGAGUAACGCGUGAGGAACCUGCCUCAAAGAGGGGGACAACAGUUGGAAACGACUGCUAAUACCGCAUAAGCCCACGGCUCGGCAUCGAGCAGGGGGAAAAGGAGCAAUCCGCUUUGAGAUGGCCUCGCGUCCGAUUAGCUAGUUGGUGAGGUAAUGGCCCACCAAGGCGACGAUCGGUAGCCGGACUGAGAGGUUGAACGGCCACAUUGGGACUGAGACACGGCCCAGACUCCUACGGGAGGCAGCAGUGGGGAAUAUUGCACAAUGGGGGAAACCCUGAUGCAGCGACGCCGCGUGGAGGAAGAAGGUCUUCGGAUUGUAAACUCCUGUUGUUGAGGAAGAUAAUGACGGUACUCAACAAGGAAGUGACGGCUAACUACGUGCCAGCAGCCGCGGUAAAACGUAGGUCACAAGCGUUGUCCGGAAUUACUGGGUGUAAAGGGAGCGCAGGCGGGAGAACAAGUUGGAAGUGAAAUCCAUGGGCUCAACCCAUGAACUGCUUUCAAAACUGUUUUUCUUGAGUAGUGCAGAGGUAGGCGGAAUUCCCGGUGUAGCGGUGGAAUGCGUAGAUAUCGGGAGGAACACCAGUGGCGAAGGCGGCCUACUGGGCACCAACUGACGCUGAGGCUCGAAAGUGUGGGUAGCAAACAGGAUUAGAUACCCUGGUAGUCCACACCGUAAACGAUGAUUACUAGGUGUUGGAGGAUUGACCCCUUCAGUGCCGCAGUUAACACAAUAAGUAAUCCACCUGGGGAGUACGACCGCAAGGUUGAAACUCAAAGGAAUUGACGGGGGCCCGCACAAGCAGUGGAGUAU
rnacentral:rRNA from 1 species